CUUGCUCGGCUCGACCGGAAGAACGGGGCGCUUUCCCCGUUAGGAAAGUUGGGCGGUUGCCACGGACGAAUGACGUGGAAAGGAGACGCUGGCCGAUUGCGUUUGAGCGGUAGGCGUCGUUUCGAGUAUAAAGCUGCGACGUGCAGAGACAGGCGUGUCUGUUAAGCCGCACGUCAGAAUGACGAGCGUAUUCUUCUAGUAUCCCUGUUCGCCUCCGAACUGCCUCGUCGUCUGUCCCAGUACGUUCUCUAUCGCUGUUUUGUUCAUUCUCACACGACAGAACGGCUCGCAAAAAGGCUGUCUCUCUCCUGCGCAACUAUGGCUGUAGGAACACAGACGGGUUUGUGAAAGACGCAGGGAUCGAGGCAACAGAGUGUUGCGUAAGGUGGGAGAGGGAAGCGCCAGAGAAGGCUGCAGCGCGUUCUACUUGCGCCGUCAAGUCGUCAGAGACACGCCAGUCGAUGGGGGAAGAAGACUCAGAGGAGUGGUGGAAAAAAAGUCGAGGAACCUGAGGACAAAGCUACGGGAAGCUGUCAAAACACUCAUGCUCGAGUGGGAAUCAUUCGAUUCUCUCGGCGGGUACACAGGAGAUCUUUUGAAUGCAAGUCCCGUCUCUACCUCCCGACAGGCACUUCCUGGUGUGCUCGGGUGUUGACAUGGUGAGGGAACUUGCCAACUAGCGAGGCCACAAGCGUCGUCUCGGUUACAAUUGACACGACUGGCGGAAAGUCUACGCAUCCAGAAUCGCUCUACCCUCGGCUGUGCGGCAGUCCGCGCGUGGAACUAUAGGUGUGAAGCAACGACUACUGCUCGGGUAGGCAUCGCCUGAGCAUAAAUCUGUGCAGUUGGACGUGGCGUACCGAAACAACCCUGUCAUAUUUGAUCUACCUCACAGCAUGCUUCUGAUCUCUCUCUCCCUAUAUAUAUAUAUACACGUGUAUCUGACAAAUAGGGACGUAGCCAGGAACACGUUGGCUCGUCGUUCUUUUUCAUUUCGGAGCAUUUGUUUCCCUCAUGUCGCAGGCGACGUUCUGAGCUUGCGGUUGUACAACAAACAAGAGAGGAGUUCGGUUAAAACGGCUUCACCCGCUUUUAAAAGAACACUCUCGUGAAGACUGUUCGUGGUUUCCGGCUGCACACUGCCCGAUAGAAUUCUUGUCUUCAGCGGUGUGUUGCACUGAGAAUGUACGCCCGCUCGCUUGUUGCCAGAGAAAAGACAACUUGCUCCAUGGGGCGCUAGGAACCUCUGAACAGACAGCAGAUGCAACAGUGACAGCACGCGUUGCGCAAG
rnacentral:lncRNA from 1 species